rnacentral:sRNA from 1 species
UAUAUUUCUACGCUGAAUCAAACUUGAGCGGGGGAACCAUUUCUGUGAUGAAAUUGGUCACUAGGGGUGAAUCCUUAAAAUAGGUAGGGCGACUCUCACGUCCGAAUCCGACAGCUAACCUCGUAAGCGUAUAGGGAGAAGGA